rnacentral:rRNA from 1 species
GAUGAACGCUGGCGGCGUGCCUAAUACAUGCAAGUCGAGCGAAUGGAUUAAGAGCUUGCUCUUAUGAAGUUAGCGGCGGACGGGUGAGUAACACGUGGGUAACCUGCCCAUAAGACUGGGAUAACUCCGGGAAACCGGGGCUAAUACCGGAUAACAUUUUGAACCGCAUGGUUCGAAAUUGAAAGGCGGCUUCGGCUGUCACUUAUGGAUGGACCCGCGUCGCAUUAGCUAGUUGGUGAGGUAACGGCUCACCAAGGCAACGAUGCGUAGCCGACCUGAGAAGGUGAUCGGCCACACUGUGACUGGGACCCGGCCCAGACUCCUACGGGAGGCAGCAGUAGGGAAUCUUCCGCAAUGGACGAAAGUCUGACGGAGCAACGCCGCGUGAGUGAUGAAGGCUUUCGGGUCGUAAAACUCUGUUGUUAGGGAAGAACAAGUGCUAGUUGAAUAAGCUGGCACCUUGACGGUACCUAACCAGAAAGCCACGGCUAACUACGUGCCAGCCGCCGCGGUAA